rnacentral:rRNA from 1 species
ACGCGAAUUUCCCUUCGGGGAGAAGUAGAGUGGCGUCCGGGUGAGUAACACGUGAGUAAUUUGCCUUCGGGUGGGGAAUAACAGCCGGAAACGGCUGCUAAUACCGCAUGAUGCAGCGGCACCUCAUGGUGACAGUUGUUAAAGCGGGGGAUCGCAAGACCUCGCGCCUGAAGAGAAGCUCGCGGCAGAUUAGCUAGUUGGUAGGGUAACGGCCUACCAAGGCAACGAUCUGUAGCCGGCCUGAGAGGGCGGUCGGCCACACUGACACUGACACACGGGUCAGACUCCUACGGGAGGCAGCAGUCGGGAAUUUUGGGCAAUGGGCGAAAGCCUGACCCAGCAACGCCGCGUGAAGGAUGAAGUAUUUCGGUAUGUAAACUUCACAAGAAUGGGAAGAAUAAGUCAGGGUUAAUACCCCUGAUGAUGACGGUACCAUUUGUAAGCUCCGGCUAACUCCGUGCCAGCAGCCGCGGUAAUACGGGGGGAGCAAGCGUUGUUCGGAUUUACUGGGCGUAAAGGGCGCGUAGGCGGCGUGACAAGUCACUUGUGAAAUCUCCGGGCUUAACCCGGAGCGGUCAAGUGAUACUGUCGUGCUAGAGUGCGGAAGGGGCAACUGGAAUUCUCGGUGUAGCGGUGAAAUGCGUAGAUAUCGAGAGGAACACCUGCGGCGAAGGCGGGUUGCUGGGCCGACACUGACGCUGAGGCGCGAAAGCAGGGGAGCGAACGGGAUUAGAUACCCCGGUAGUC